rnacentral:rRNA from 1 species
UACAGAGGUCCCGAGCGUUGUUCGGAUUCAUUGGGCGUAAAGGGUGCGUAGGUGGCAAGGUAAGUCGGAUGUGAAAUCCCGGGGCUCAACCCCGGAACUGCAUUCGAUACUGCCUGGCUAGAGUACUGGAGAGGAGAUUGGAAUUUACGGUGUAGCAGUGAAAUGCGUAGAUAUCGUAAGGAAGACCAGUGGCGAAGGCGGAUCUCUGGACAGUUACUGACGCUGAGGCACGAAGGCCAGGGGAGCAAACGGG